CGCCAGGCCCUCUACUACCAGGAGGCGGAGGUGGUGGUGGGGCUCCUCCAUGCAUCGGGGGAGGUGGUGGCGGUGGAGCUCCUCCACGCAUCGGGGGAGGCGGUGGAGGUGGUGUUCCAUACAUCGGAGGUGGAGGUGGAGGUGGAGCACCCAUUGGUGGCGGUGGAGGCGGAGGUCCACCAGAUCUAAACGGAGGUGGUGGUGGUGGUGGAGGUCCACUAGCUCUAAAUGGAGGUGGUGGAGGAGGAGGAGGUGAAGUUUUACCAAAAGGAGGGGGUGGUGGAGGAGGAGGGGAACCAUGACCUGGUGGCGGAGGAGGAGGUGGAGGAAUUGAGCGUACAUGACUGAAAGGAGGAGGUGGAGGUGGUGGUGGGGAUCCAUAACUCAGUGGAGGAGGCGGCGGUGGGGGUGGAGAUCCAUAACUCGGUGGAGGAGGGGGAGGUGGGGGUGGAGAUCCAUAACUUGGUGGAGGAGGGGGAGGGGGAGGCACUGAAUAUGCAUUACUAAAAGGAGGAGGUGGAGGUGGUGGUGGAGCUGUUUUACUAGGUGGAAGAGGUGGAGAUCCAUAACUUGGUGGAGAAGGGGGAGGGGGAGGUACUGAAUAUGCAUUACUAAAAGGUGGAGGUGAUGGUGGAGCUGUUUUACUAGGUGGAAGAGGUGGAGAUGGAGAAGUGGAAAAACCAUUAAUAGGAAGGAUCUUGAGUGCUGGUGUAGGUGCAACACUCGUAUAAGGCAGAGGAGG
rnacentral:lncRNA from 1 species